GAGUACUGGAAGGUAUCGUUGAAGAUAUUAGAGUCGAAUCACCCACUUCAUCGUCGAGACGUUAAUUAGCAGAUAAUUCAUUUACAAAAAAGAAUCGAACUUAUUUCCGUGUUAUUAUUAAUUUGCAAAGUUUGAUCGCGAUUUUCGGUCAAAAGAUACGAUGAUACUUCGGAUAAGAUGGCAGAGCGGUAAUUGCGGAUACAUUUCAAAAAUUACCUAUGCUUACCGGCUAGUUUCUUGCAAUAUCCAUUGAGACAAGGAAGUCACUUGAUCGUUCAAGCGGAAUCUUUUCUUCUUAAAGGCCAGUAUAAUAUGCUCAAAUA